CUACGGGACGCUGCAGUGGGGAAUAUUGCACAAUGGAGGAAACUCUGAUGCAGCAACGCCGCGUGGAGGAUGACACUUUUCGGAGCGUAAACUCCUUUUAUAUAGGAAGAAGAUGACGGUACUAUAUGAAUAAGCGCCGGCUAACUCCGUGCCAGCAGCCGCGGUAAUACGGAGGGCGCAAGCGUUACUCGGAAUCACUGGGCGUAAAGAGCGUGUAGGCGGAUUAAAAAGUCAGAAGUGAAAUCCUAUAGCUUAACUAUAGAACUGCUUCUGAAACUCUUAAUCUAGAAUAUGGGAGAGGUAGAGGGAAUUGCUGGUGUAGGGGUAAAAUCCGUAGAGAUCAGAAGGAAUACCGAUUGCGAAGGCGAUCUACUAGAACAUUAUGAACGCUGGGACGCGAAAGCGUGGGGAGCAAACAGGUUUAGAACCCCCGUAGUC
rnacentral:rRNA from 1 species